rnacentral:tmRNA from 1 species
GGGGGUGAUCGGUUUCGACCGGGGAGUCGAUUGCCAGGGAAGCGUGUCGAGGACGCCAGUCACCUCGUAAAUCAUCGGGCAAAAACAUAAAUGCAAACAACAGCUACGCCCUCGCAGCCUAAAUAGUGCUCCGAGCGUGCUGCAUCCUUCGCUUGAGGGGAUGUAGAGCGAAAUUGCUAUCGAGCUGGCGCGAAGGUUGAGUCGCAGGGCCAAGCGUGAGAAAUACUGCUACUCGCUGAUCUGAAGCGUGUUCGUUCGCGUCGGUGAGGCUAACUUCAAACAACGAAAUACACACGUAGAUGCCCUGAUGAUCCGUUUCACGGCACGCGGGUUCGAUUCCCGCCACCUCCACCA